rnacentral:rRNA from 1 species
GGGUUGUGAGGUUAAGCGACUAAGCGUACACGGUGGAUGCCCUGGCAGUCAGAGGCGAUGAAGGACGUGCUAAUCUGCGAUAAGCGUCGGUAAGGUGAUAUGAACCGUUAUAACCGGCGAUUUCCGAAUGGGGAAACCCAGUGUGUUUCGACACACUAUCAUUAACUGAAUCCAUAGGUUAAUGAGGCGAACCGGGGGAACUGAAACAUCUAAGUACCCCGAGGAAAAGAAAUCAACCGAGAUUCCCCCAGUAGCGGCGAGCGAACGGGGAGCAGCCCAGAGCCUGAAUCAGUGUGUGUGUUAGUGGAAGCGUCUGGAAAGGCGCGCGAUACAGGGUGACAGCCCCGUACACAAAAAUGCACAUGCUGUGAGCUCGAUGAGUAGGGCGGGACACGUGGUAUCCUGUCUGAAUAUGGGGGGACCAUCCUCCAAGGCUAAAUACUCCUGACUGACCGAUAGUGAACCAGUACCGUGAGGGAAAGGCGAAAAGAACCCCGGCGAGGGGAGUGAAAAAGAACCUGAAACCGUGUACGUACAAGCAGUGGGAGCACGCUUAGGCGUGUGACUGCGUACCUUUUGUAUAAUGGGUCAGCGACUUAUAUUCUGUAGCAAGGUUAACCGAAUAGGGGAGCCGAAGGGAAACCGAGUCUUAACUGGGCGUUAAGUUGCAGGGUAUAGACCCGAAACCCGGUGAUCUAGCCAUGGGCAGGUUGAAGGUUGGGUAACACUAACUGGAGGACCGAACCGACUAAUGUUGAAAAAUUAGCGGAUGACUUGUGGCUGGGGGUGAAAGGCCAAUCAAACCGGGAGAUAGCUGGUUCUCCCCGAAAGCUAUUUAGGUAGCGCCUCGUGAAUUCAUCUCCGGGGGUAGAGCACUGUUUCGGCAAGGGGGUCAUCCCGACUUACCAACCCGAUGCAAACUGCGAAUACCGGAGAAUGUUAUCACGGGAGACACACGGCGGGUGCUAACGUCCGUCGUGAAGAGGGAAACAACCCAGACCGCCAGCUAAGGUCCCAAAGUCAUGGUUAAGUGGGAAACGAUGUGGGAAGGCCCAGACAGCCAGGAUGUUGGCUUAGAAGCAGCCAUCAUUUAAAGAAAGCGUAAUAGCUCACUGGUCGAGUCGGCCUGCGCGGAAGAUGUAACGGGGCUAAACCAUGCACCGAAGCUGCGGCAGCGACGCUGAUGCGUUGUUGGGUAGGGGAGCGUUCUGUAAGCCUGCGAAGGUGUGCUGUGAGGCAUGCUGGAGGUAUCAGAAGUGCGAAUGCUGACAUAAGUAACGAUAAAGCGGGUGAAAAGCCCGCUCGCCGGAAGACCAAGGGUUCCUGUCCAACGUUAAUCGGGGCAGGGUGAGUCGACCCCUAAGGCGAGGCCGAAAGGCGUAGUCGAUGGGAAACAGGUUAAUAUUCCUGUACUUGGUGUUACUGCGAAGGGGGGACGGAGAAGGCUAUGUUGGCCGGGCGACGGUUGUCCCGGUUUAAGCGUGUAGGCUGGUUUUCCAGGCAAAUCCGGAAAAUCAAGGCUGAGGCGUGAUGACGAGGCACUACGGUGCUGAAGCAACAAAUGCCCUGCUUCCAGGAAAAGCCUCUAAGCAUCAGGUAACAUCAAAUCGUACCCCAAACCGACACAGGUGGUCAGGUAGAGAAUACCAAGGCGCUUGAGAGAACUCGGGUGAAGGAACUAGGCAAAAUGGUGCCGUAACUUCGGGAGAAGGCACGCUGAUAUGUAGGUGAAGUCCCUUGCGGAUGGAGCUGAAAUCAGUCGAAGAUACCAGCUGGCUGCAACUGUUUAUUAAAAACACAGCACUGUGCAAACACGAAAGUGGACGUAUACGGUGUGACGCCUGCCCGGUGCCGGAAGGUUAAUUGAUGGGGUCAGCGCAAGCGAAGCUCUUGAUCGAAGCCCCGGUAAACGGCGGCCGUAACUAUAACGGUCCUAAGGUAGCGAAAUUCCUUGUCGGGUAAGUUCCGACCUGCACGAAUGGCGUAAUGAUGGCCAGGCUGUCUCCACCCGAGACUCAGUGAAAUUGAACUCGCUGUGAAGAUGCAGUGUACCCGCGGCAAGACGGAAAGACCCCGUGAACCUUUACUAUAGCUUGACACUGAACAUUGAGCCUUGAUGUGUAGGAUAGGUGGGAGGCUUUGAAGUGUGGACGCCAGUCUGCAUGGAGCCGACCUUGAAAUACCACCCUUUAAUGUUUGAUGUUCUAACGUGGACCCGUGAUCCGGGUUGCGGACAGUGUCUGGUGGGUAGUUUGACUGGGGCGGUCUCCUCCUAAAGAGUAACGGAGGAGCACGAAGGUUGGCUAAUCCUGGUCGGACAUCAGGAGGUUAGUGCAAUGGCAUAAGCCAGCUUGACUGCGAGCGUGACGGCGCGAGCAGGUGCGAAAGCAGGUCAUAGUGAUCCGGUGGUUCUGAAUGGAAGGGCCAUCGCUCAACGGAUAAAAGGUACUCCGGGGAUAACAGGCUGAUACCGCCCAAGAGUUCAUAUCGACGGCGGUGUUUGGCACCUCGAUGUCGGCUCAUCACAUCCUGGGGCUGAAGUAGGUCCCAAGGGUAUGGCUGUUCGCCAUUUAAAGUGGUACGCGAGCUGGGUUUAGAACGUCGUGAGACAGUUCGGUCCCUAUCUGCCGUGGGCGCUGGAGAACUGAGGGGGGCUGCUCCUAGUACGAGAGGACCGGAGUGGACGCAUCACUGGUGUUCGGGUUGUCAUGCCAAUGGCACUGCCCGGUAGCUAAAUGCGGAAGAGAUAAGUGCUGAAAGCAUCUAAGCACGAAACUUGCCCCGAGAUGAGUUCUCCCUGACUCCUUGAGAGUCCUGAAGGAACGUUGAAGACGACGACGUUGAUAGGCCGGGUGUGUAAGCGCAGCGAUGCGUUGAGCUAACCGGUACUAAUGAACCGUGAGGCUUAACCUUACAACGCCGAAGCUGUU